rnacentral:rRNA from 1 species
AGUGAACACUGGCGGUAGGCCUAACACAUGCAAGUCGAACGGCAGCACAGGAGAGCUUGCUCUCUGGGUGGCGAGUGGCGGACGGGUGAGGAAUACAUCGGAAUCUACUCUGUCGUGGGGGAUAACGUAGGGAAACUUACGCUAAUACCGCAUACGACCUACGGGUGAAAGCAGGGGACCUUCGGGCCUUGCGCGAUUGAAUGAGCCGAUGUCGGAUUAGCUAGUUGGCGGGGUAAAGGCCCACCAAGGCGACGAUCCGUAGCUGGUCUGAGAGGAUGAUCAGCCACACUGGAACUGAGACACGGUCCAGACUCCUACGGGAGGCAGCAGUGGGGAAUAUUGGACAAUGGGCGCAAGCCUGAUCCAGCCAUACCGCGUGGGUGAAGAAGGCCUUCGGGUUGUAAAGCCCUUUUGUUGGGAAAGAAAUCCAGCUGGCUAAUACCCGGUUGGGAUGACGGUACCCAAAGAAUAAGCACCGGCUAACUUCGUGCCAGCCGCCGCGGUAAGAC